rnacentral:misc_RNA from 1 species
AGCAGCCGCGGUAAUUCCAGCUCCAAUAGCGUAUAUUAAAGUUGUUGCAGUUAAAAAGCUCGUAGUUGAAUUUCGGGAUCAAUUGAUCAGUCGUGCCUCUGGUACGCACUGGUUUUAUUGGUUUCUCCCUUCUGACGAACCAGGAUGUCAUUAAUUUGGUGUCUUGGAGAAUCAGGACUGUUACUUUGAAAAAAUUAGAGUGUUUAAAGCAGGCUAACGCUUGAAUACAUUAGCAUGGAAUAAUGAAAUAGGACGUUUGAUCCUAUUUUGUUGGUUUCUAGGAUCGACGUAAUGAUUAAUAGGGAUAGUUGGGGGCAUUAGUAUUCAAUUGUCAGAGGUGAAAUUCUUGGAUUUAUUGAAGACUAACUACUGCGAAAGCAUUUGCCAAGGAUGUUUUCAUUAAUCAAGAACGAAAGUUAGGGGAUCGAAGACGAUCAGAUACCGUCGUAGUCUUAACCAUAAACUAUGCCGACUAGGGAUCGGAUGAUGUUAAUUUUUUAAUGACUCAUUCGGCGCCUUA